rnacentral:rRNA from 1 species
CCAGACUCCUACGGGAGGCAGCAGUGAGGAAUAUUGGUCAAUGGGCGGAAGCCUGAACCAGCCAAGUCGCGUGAGGGAAGAAGGCCCUGCGGGUCGCAGACCUCUUUGGACGGGGAGCAAGGCCGCCGACGUGUCGGCGGAAGGAGAGUACCCGUAGAACAAGCAUCGGCUAACUCCGUGCCAGCAGCCGCGGUAAUACGUAGGGGGCAAGCGUUAUCCGGAUUUACUGGGUGUAAAGGGAGCGCAGGUGGCAAGGCAAGCCAGAAGUGAAAACCCGGGGCUUAACCCCGCGGAUUGCUUUUGGAACUGUCUGGCUGGAGUGCAGGAGGGGCAGGCGGAAUUCCUGGUGUAGCGGUGAAAUGCGUAGAUAUCAGGAGGAACACCGGUGGCGAAGGCGGCCUGCUGGACUGUAACUGACACUGAGGCUCAAAAGCGUGGGGAGCAAACAGGAUUAGAUACCCCAGUAC